rnacentral:tRNA from 1 species
UGCGGUAGAGCUGCUUGGUAGCUCGCUUGGCUCCUGACCCGAAUGCCGCAGGUUCAAAUCCUGCCCCCGCAACCA